GAUGAACGCUGGCGGCGUGCCUAAUACAUGCAAGUCGAGCGAAUGGAUUAAGAGCUUGCUCUUAUGAAGUUAGCGGCGGACGGGUGAGUAACACGUGAGUAACCUGCCCAUAAGACUGGGAUAACUCCGGGAAACAGGGGCUAAUACCGGAUAACAUUUUGAACCGCAUGGUUCGAAAUUGAAAGGCGGCUUCGGCUGUCACUUAUGGAUGGACCCGCGUCGCAUUAGCUCGUUGGUGAGGUAACGGCUCACCAAGGCAACGAUGCGUAGCCGACCUGAGAGGGUGAUCGGCCACACUGGGACUGAGACACGGCCCAGACUCCUACGGGAGGCAGCAGUAGGGAAUCUUCCGCAAUGGACGAAAGUCUGACGGAGCAACGCCGCGUGAGUGAUGAAGGCUUUCGGGUCGUAAAACUCUGUUGUUAGGGAAGAACAAGUGCUAGUUGAAUAAGCUGGCACCUUGACGGUACCUAACCAGAAAGCCACGGCUAACUACGUGCCAGCCGCCGCAGUAA
rnacentral:rRNA from 1 species